UUAAAUUGAAGAGUUUGAUCAUGGCUCAGAUUGAACGCUGGCGGCAGGCCUAACACAUGCAAGUCGAGCGGAAACGAGUUAUYWGAACCUUCGGGGRACGAUAACGGCGUCGAGCGGCGGACGGGUGAGUAAUGC
rnacentral:rRNA from 1 species